rnacentral:lncRNA from 1 species
AUAGCCAACAAAUUAAUCUUUCGCCAAUCAGGACAAGGGUUUAAUAAGUAAAAAGAAAUGUUAUUAUCUCUUCUGUAAAUACACAAGAUUAGUGCAAGCUCUCAUAAAUUUGUUUACUGUAAAGAAUGAGAUUAGUUUCUUAUUAUUGAUAGACCUGAUCCAUGAUAACUAUCCCAUAGUCCUGGACAAAGGUAAUUUGAGCUCAGAUAUCUGAACCCUGCCUGCUUGUGCUUGGAACAUAGAAGCCAGUUUGGAAACCUUGUCCAUCUAAUGGCACUUGGGGUGUAAUUUCAGGAGGAGGCAUCACUACUUACCAGGGGCUCCAUCUUCAACAGCUCAGUCACCAGGAGCCUUUCUCACGAUUUCACUCACAGCCAAUCCAAGCACAAGGCAGGUCAAUCUGAGGAUGAAGAAGAAGCCUUGAGACUCCAGACUUCCAGACCCAUCAGAAUUCAAGCCCCAACCUUCACCUGGACAUGACCCCCAGCCCCUCAAACCGAAAUAAGUGAUGCACCCUAAGAAUCUUCUCUGCAGGAUCACAGGUCACCUCUGGUGUCCAGGAAAUGUUGAUACUGGCCUGGAAGUCCUGAAGAAAGUGACCACCUCUCUCGGGCAACUGCAGAACUUUGUAAGUACUCCAGGGAAUCUUGGAAUUUUGUGGAAUUUAAUUCAUUGGGAUAUAGCCAAUGAUUUUUCUUAUGAUCACAUUGGCUUUUGUGUUUUAUUGUUUGUUGGGUUUUUAAAAUAAUUUUUAAAAUUAUUUAUUUUUGGCUGUGCUGGGUCUUUGUUACUAUAUGUACUUUUCUCUAGUUGUUGCGAGAUGGAGCUACUCUUUACUUGCGGUGUGAGGGCUUCUCAUUGCUGAGGCAUCUCUUGUUGCCAAACACAGGCUCUACAGCAUUCAGACUUCAGCAGUUGUGGCCUGUGAGCUUGGUUGCUCUGUGGCAUGUAGGAUCUUCCUGGACUGGGGAUAGAACAAAUUCUUUACCACUAAGCCACCUGGAAGCCCCUGUUUGUUGGAUUUUUAUUUAAUUUGUUUUUUGAGAAAGAUGGCAGAGGUACCAUCCACCAUUCUCAUCAUUUCAUUUCAAGGCUACAAGUCUGAAACGACUUAAUACUAGGAUACUAGUGUUGUUAGUCCAGCUACUUAGAUUAGAUUUCUCCAGUGUAAAGUUAUGCUUAUAUCAUGUCCAAAAAUGUGUUGUUUUGGAAGAAUUUCACUACGUACAGCCUUUGAGGCGUGGAGAGUUAUGCUCCACCUCCUUGAUUGCUGAUAUCCACAUAAAUUAUCAGGAAUUCCUCUCCACGGGAGAUUUGUACUGUCCUCCAAUUUGUU